rnacentral:rRNA from 1 species
GAUGAACGCUGGCGGCAUGCCUAAUACAUGCAAGUCGAACGAACUGCCCCUGAACUAAAAGAAGUGCUUGCACGGAAGUUAAGGACGGAAUUUGCAGUUAGUGGCGAACGGGUGAGUAACACGUGGGUAACCUACCAUAGAGAUUGGGAUAACUGUUGGAAACGACAGCUAAAACCGAAUAAGAUUAAUUCUCCAAAGAGGAAUAAUUUAAAUAGGCGUUUGCCUAGCUUUAUGAUGGGCCCGCGGUGCAUUAGCUAGUUGGUGAGGUAAAGGCUCACCAAGGCGACGAUGCAUAGCCGGACUGAGAGGUUGAACGGCCACAUUGGGACUGAGACACGGCCCAGACAACUACGGUUGGCAGCAGUAGGGAAUUUUUCGCAAUGGACGAAAGUCUGACGGAGCAAUGCCGCGUGAGUGAAGACGGUUUUCGGAUUGUAAAACUCUGUUGUGUGGGAAGAACACUAAUGAGAGGAAAUGCUCAUUAAUUGACGCACCACACCAGAAAGCCACGGCUAACUACGUGCCAGCAGCCGCGGUAAUACGUAGGUGGCGAGCGUUAUCCGGAAUUAUUGGGCGUAAAGACC